rnacentral:SRP_RNA from 1 species
GCCGGGCGUGGUGGCUCACGCCUGUAAUCCCAGCACUUUGGGAGGCUGAGGCGGGUGGAUCACCUGAGGUCAGGAGUAGAAGACCAGCCUGGCCAACAUGAUGAAACCCCGUCUCUA